UAUGAAUUGUAAAAUUAGUGAUCUUAGUAUUAAUAGUUUAGAUCUUUAAAUUAAAAGAAUUUGGCGGUAAUUUAGUCUUUUCAGAGGAACCUGCCCUGUAAUUGAUAGUCCACGAUAAAUUUUACUUUAUCUUUGUUUGUAUACCUCUGUCAUUGAAUGUUUUAUUAGGAUGGAUUUUCUUUAACUUUUAUGAAUUUAAUGUCAGGUCAAGGUGCAGCUGUGAUAAAGAAGAGGUGGGUUACAUUGAAUUUAUUUAUGGAGAUAAAUAUGUAAAUUUUAUUGAAAUAGGAUUUGAAAGUAAGUUUUAUUAGAAUAUAAAAUUGAUUUUAGCUCUAAAUUAUGC
rnacentral:rRNA from 1 species